rnacentral:rRNA from 1 species
UACGAAGGGGGCUAGCGUUGUUCGGAAUUACUGGGCGUAAAGCGCGUGCAGGCGGUUCUUCAAGUCAGAGGUGAAAGCCCAGAGCUCAACUCUGGAAUGGCCUUUGAGACUAGAGAACUAGGGUACGGGAGAGGUGAGUGGAAUUCCGAGUGUAGAGGUGAAAUUCGUAGAUAUUCGGAAGAACACCAGUGGCGAAGGCGGCUCACUGGCCCGUUACCGACGCUCAGGCGCGACAGCGUGGGGAGCAAACAGG